AGUGUCACCUCCAAAGUGGAAGAGGCCUAAUGUAAUCAACCUGCCACCAAGCAGCUGGCUGAUGUCCUUCAGACAGCAUACCCUACUGAGGGUGCGAUUUCCUUCUCUGACGCUAACAUGCUGGAAAUUCAGCAUUGGCAGUAGCCAGUAGCCAACAGGUUGCCUUGUGAGAGGCAGCCCAUUCUUUUGGGAAAAGGCAGAGCCUCCAUUCCUACCAGUGUGGCCAACUCCUUGCUCAAGCAAUGGGUGGCCGAGGAGAGAUAUUGCUGCUAUUCACUGAGUAGGUCAUCCUGUCCACCUGGUUAUUGAGCAUCCCCCUGGAGCAGAUGCCCUUGUGCCCACUCCUAUAGGUCCACCUUCAUGUCUCCAACCUUCCAAUCUUGCUAGUUUCAUGUCCCUGACUAACUAACCAAGCCAUCUGUCCCUGCCUGGAAACCUAUGUGUAUCCAUAUCCCUGCCCACUUCUCCUCCCCUACAAAGCAAACAACCAAGUGUACCAGUUGUAUCUCUGUCCACUGGGAGAAUUCCCUUCAGCCUGUCCUUGAAAGUCAAUAUUGAAUGACUAUAGUGUGACAACUGUCCAUCUUCUUCUUCCUCCAAUACACUGAUGAACCAGACACAAGAAUUUUCCUCUCCUACCACUGGAUCAUCUAGAGGCUACUGUGAGAUCAUGUGCAUGAAUUGAGGAAAAGGCACUAGUGUCACAAAGGUGACACUCUCUAGACCUGCUUGGACGUGACCUUUAUGAACCAUUUCAUCAUACGAUGGAUUGUGGCAGCUCCUGUGACUCAGUGGUCAUGAUGAUGUCCAGCCCAUGGUGAGCAACACUAUUCUCAUCACUAUGAUCAGUUACUCAGUCUCUACAGAACCUCUUUUCCUGUGCCUGCCCAAGGGGACCACACAGGAAGUGAGCCAGAGGAAGAAUCUGGACUUGUCUUUCAGAGAUCCCCAUUACAUGAUUCCAAUUGGAAGCCAAAAGGUAAGACACCCAUGGAUAUAACCCAUACAAUCAGCCUGCCAGGUCACAGAAUAGGGUGCAGCAGGAUGGAGAGUAAAUCUAGAACAAAUGGAAGAUGGUCUAUGGUUUUAAAAAAUUAACUUGUGUAUAUUUAUGUUCAGUUCCCCCAAGUAGAUUGUAAACCCCUUGGGGCAGAGACAGCCUUACCCUUCUGUGGAUCCUCCCAAAGCACCUGGGACAGUAUGGCAUGAGUGAAUGAAUGAAAGUACUCCAAUGUUCAUAGCCAUGCUAUAACAUGUCCAUAAACCAAGUUACAGAGCAUAAUAAAAAAAAUUAUCUGAAGGAAAAAUCUGCCCUC
rnacentral:lncRNA from 1 species